rnacentral:rRNA from 1 species
CCUGAGUACGACGGAGCACGUGAAAUUCCGUCGGAAUCUGGGAGGACCAUCUCCUAAGGCUAAAUACUCUCUAGUGACCGAUAGUGAACCAGUACCGUGAGGGAAAGGUGAAAAGUACCCCGGAAGGGGAGUGAAAGAGAACUUGAAACCGUGUGCUUACAAGUAGUCAGAGCCCGUUAAUGGGUGAUGGCGUGCCUUUUGUAGAAUGAACCGGCGAGUUACGAUCUGAUGCAAGGUUAAGCAGAAAAUGUGGAGCCGUAGCGAAAGCGAGUCUGAAUAGGGCGAAUGAGUAUUUGGUCGUAGACCCGAAACCAGGUGAUCUACCCUUGGUCAGGUUGAAGUUCAGGUAACACUGAAUGGAGGACCGAACCGACUUACGUUGAAAAGUGAGCGGAUGAACUGAGGGUAGCGGAGAAAUUCCAAUCGAACUUGGAGAUAGCUGGUUCUCUCCGAAAUAGCUUUAGGGCUAGCCUCAAGUGAUGAUUAUUGGAGGUAGAGCACUGUUUGGACGAGGGGCCCCUCUCGGGUUACCGAAUUCAGACAAACUCCGAAUGCCAAAUAAUUUAACUUGGGAGUCAGAAUGUGGGUGAUAAGGUCCAUAUUCGAAAGGGAAACAGCCCAGACCACCAGCUAAGGUCCCAAAAUAUAUGUUAAGUGGAAAAGGAUGUGGCGUUGCCCAGACAACUAGGAUGUUGGCUUAGAAGCAGCCAUCAUUUAAAGAGUGCGUAAUAGCUCACUAGUCGAGUGACACUGCGCCGAAAAUGUACCGGGGCUAAACAUAUUACCGAAGCUGUGGAUUGUCCUUUGGACAAUGGUAGGAGAGCGUUCUAAGGGCGUUGAAGCAUGAUCGCAAGGACAUGUGGAGCGCUUAGAAGUGAGAAUGCCGGUGUGAGUA